rnacentral:rRNA from 1 species
AACUUAGACAGUUACUUAACAAAAUUGUACGCCAGGAGAACUACGAGCCACAGCUUAAAACUCAAAGGACUUGGCGGUGCUUUAUACCCCCUAGAGGAGCCUGUUCUGUAAUCGAUAAACCCCGAUCAACCUCACCAAUCUUUGCUAAUUCAGCCUUUAUACCGCCAUCCUUCAGCAAACAGAA